AUACUUACCUGGCUGGGGAGAUACCAUGAUCAAGAAGGUGGUUUUCCCAGGACGAGGCUUGCCCAUGGCACUCGGGAUGUGCUGACCCCUGUGGUUUCCCCAAAUGCAGGGAACUUGACUGCGUAAUUUGUGACAGUGGGGGACUGCGUUUGCACAUGCCCCUU